AUCUUUAUUUUUGUUCAUGUUUUACUAAAUUACUUUUAUUUCUUGUUCAUGUUUUACUAAAUUGCUUUUAUUUUAUAACAGCACGAAGUUAUUUAUCUAAUGAUAAUUUUCAUAUCAGGGCACUGAAACCAGCUGACCAGUGGGAACGCAAGAAGGCAAUAGACUACGUACUUAUGCAAGAAAAUAGCUCAGUUAAAAGCUUUCCUGCAUGUUCUUAAAAGCUUUCCUGCAUGUUCUUAAAUCCUGUGGCAAAGGUGAAGGCAUUACAAAUGGAGGUUAGUUGAUAAGUACAAAUUGACUUAAAUGGGUGAGAAUGGAGAAAAGAAGGUAAGCUAAGCAGAGAGAAGAUUGAACUAAAGCAGGAAACUAGAGAAAAUGGAAUUUACAAACUAGAACAACAAAGAAUGAAGAUAUCUACAUCUUUUUACCUCUGUAUCAAAUUAUUCUCCAACGCUUCCCUCCAGUAUGUUGAUUCUUCUCAACUUUCCACCACUCUGAAGCUGACUCUCAAAUUCUCAAUAAAUAAGUAGCAUGCAACCUCAGUGAGCCAAUCCGUAUUUGAGAGAGGUUGACAGCAACUGACCAGAAGAUAACUGCAAUCUCAGUGAGUCAAUCAGUAUUUCAGAGAGGUCGAGAAGGGACCAGAAGAUGU